UAAAUUAAUCAAGAAAAUUAUGAAAAAUUAAAUUAAAAAAGGUGGGGUCAGGACAUUAUUAUCCCCCAAAAAUAUUUUAAAAAUAACGAAAAUUGGUACAUAAAUUAAUUAAAAUAAAACAAAGGUCAAACCAAAAGUCAAUUAAUGAGACUAGGUUAGAAAUAAAUCAAGAAUAAAUAGUAAAUUAAUAAAAAAAAUUAUGAAAAAUUAAAAUAAAUGAGGUGGGGUCAGGAC
rnacentral:lncRNA from 1 species